GACGAACGCUGGCGGCGUGCUUAACACAUGCAAGUCGAACGGGAAGGCCCUGCUUUUGUGGGGUGCUCGAGUGGCGAACGGGUGAGUAACACGUGAGUAACCUGCCCUUGACUUUGGGAUAACUUCAGGAAACUGGGGCUAAUACCGGAUAGGAGCUCCUGCUGCAUGGUGGGGGUUGGAAAGUUUCGGCGGUUGGGGAUGGACUCGCGGCUUAUCAGCUUGUUGGUGGGGUAGUGGCUUACCAAGGCUUUGACGGGUAGCCGGCCUGAGAGGGUGACCGGCCACAUUGGGACUGAGAGACGGCCCAGACUCCUACGGGAGGCAGCAGUGGGGAAUAUUGCACAAUGGGCGGAAGCCUGAUGCAGCAACGCCGCGUGCGGGAUGACGGCCUUCGGGUUGUAAACCGCUUUCGCCUGUGACGAAGCGUGAGUGACGGUAAUGGGUAAGAAGCACCGGCUAACUACGUG
rnacentral:rRNA from 1 species